rnacentral:misc_RNA from 1 species
AACUGAUACUACCUGCGGGAACCUGCGGAAGGAUCAUUAUCUAUUUCAUUGGUGUGGUCGCGGCCUCCGGGGGGUUAACCCCGGGUGGUAGAGGUAACACUUUCACGCGCCACAUGUCUGAAUCCUUUUUUUUACGAGUACCUUUCGUUCUCCUUCGGUGGGGCAACCUGCCGCUGGAACUUAUCAAAACUCUUUUUUGCAUCUAGCAUUACCUGUUCUGAUACAAACAAUCGUUACAAC